UCCUUAGUUACCAGCGGGUAAUGCCGGGCACUUUAAGGAAACUGCCAGUGAUAAACUGGAGGAAGGUGGGGAUGAUGUCAAGUCAGCACGGCCCUUAUGGGGUGGGCUACACACGUGCUACAAUGGCGACUACAAUAGGUUGCAACGUCGCAAGGCUGAGCUAAUCCGUAAAAGUCGUCUCAGUUCGGAUUGUCCUCUGUAACUCGAGGGCAUGAAGUCGGAAUCGCUAGUAAUCGUGGAUCAGCAUGCCACGGUGAAUACGUUCUCGGGUCUUGUACACACUGCCCGUCACGCCAUGGGAAUUGGCUUAACUCGAAGCUGGUGCGCCAACCGUAAGGAGGCAGCCAUUUAAGGUUGGGUCGGUGACUAGGGUG
rnacentral:rRNA from 1 species